AGCUUUGCAUAGAGGAGGUAUCGUAACCAAUGAGGUUUAUCUGAGGCACAAUUAUUGCUAACUGAAAAUAAUAUUAAUAAUAAUGCCCUCUCCUGACAGCAUCUUCUGUCAUUUCCUAAUCAUAGAG
ensembl:snRNA U4 U4 spliceosomal RNA